rnacentral:rRNA from 1 species
CCUACGGGAGGCAGCAGUGGGGAAUAUUGCACAAUGGGGGAAACCCUGAUGCAGCGACGCCGCGUGGGUGAAGAAGUAUUUCGGUAUGUAAAGCCCUAUCAGCAGGGAAGAAAAUGACGGUACCUGAGUAAGAAGCCCCGGCUAACUACGUGCCAGCAGCCGCGGUAAUACGUAGGUGGCAAGCGUUAUCCGGAUUUACUGGGUGUAAAGGGAGCGUAGACGGCGUGGCAAGUCUGAAGUGAAAGGCCGGGGCUCAACCCCGGGACUGCAUUGGAAACUGGCCAGCUGGAGUGCCGGAGAGGUAAGCGGAAUUCCUAGUGUAGCGGUGAAAUGCGUAGAUAUUAGGAGGAACACCAGUGGCGAAGGCGGCUUACUGGACGGUAACUGACGUUGAGGCUCGAAAGCGUGGGGAGCAAACAGGAUUAGAUACCCGAGUAGUC